CUUCUAGCCGAAGCCCAAAGAAGGAAUCGGGUCGGGUAUAUCCCUUCUCAACCCGGUUCAGACCCGAAGCGGGAUGGAUAAAGCGGGCAGGCUCGAAACGGACAAAUGAAACGGUUUUUGGCUUUGUUCGCGGAACCGCGGGGAAGCACAAGACAAGACGGUGGGCCGUUUGAAUUGAAUUGAUUAUCUCUCUUCCCCCUCCUCUGUCUCUCAUUGGGAAACUCGGAAAUCAAAAGCCCUAGAGGACUACGAACCAAAUUGAUCUUCAAAUUGUUGAAUUCAAAGUCACUAGGUAGGAUUUGGCUUGAAAACAUUGGAUUUUCCUUUCUUACCACAUUUUGGUUCUGGAAAAUCUGCAGUUGUGCUGCCUGGAGGAAAGUCUAUGUCAGCUAGUGCUUGUACAAUGACCCAAACAAGAGCUUCAGCUUAUGAAACCGCUCUGCCUUCUGAUAAAAUCAAUGGCAUUGGUAUUUUGAGCCCUUGGACUGAUAAAGAUCCAACCUACUCUUAGCAUCUUGU